rnacentral:rRNA from 1 species
CCUACGGGUGGCAGCAGUGAGGAAUAUUGGUCAAUGGGCGCGCGCCUGAACCAGCCAAGUAGCGUGAAGGAUGACUGCCCUACGGGUUGUAACCUUCUUUUAUAAAGGAAUAAAGUGAGGCACGUGUGCCUUUUUGUAUGUACUUUAUGAAUAAGGAUCGGCUAACUCCGUGCCAGCCGCCGCGGUAAUACGGAGUGUCCGAGCGUUAUCCGGAUUUAUUGGGUUUAACGGGAGCGUAGAUGGGUUGUUAAGUCAGAUGUGAAAGUUUGCGGCUCAACCGUAAAAGUGCAAUUGAUACUGGCAGUCGUGAGUACAGUAGAGGUAGGCGGAAUUCGAGGUGUAGCGGUGAAAUGCGUAGAUA